GCUCAGUGGUAGAGCAUGUGCCUAGCAUGCACAAGGUCCUGGGUUCAAUUCCCAG
rnacentral:tRNA from 1 species